rnacentral:rRNA from 1 species
GUAGGUGGCAAGCGUUGUCCGGAAUUAUUGGGCGUAAAGCGCGCGCAGGCGGUUCUUUAAGUCUGAUGUGAAAGCCCACGGCUCAACCGUGGAGGGUCAUUGGAAACUGGAGAACUUGAGUACAGAAGAGGAAAGCGGAAUUCCACGUGUAGCGGUGAAAUGCGUAGAGAUGCGGAGGAACACCAGUGGCGAAGGCGGCUUUCUGGUCUGUAACUGACGCUGAGGCGCGAAAGCGUGGGGAGCAAACAGGGAUUAGAUACCCUGGUAGUCCACGCCGUAAACGAUGAGUGCUAAGUGUUAGGGGGUUUCCGCCCCCUUAGUGCUGCAGCUAACGCAUUAAGCACUCCGCCUGGGGAGUACGGCCGCAAGGCUG